AUUGAACGCUGGCGGCAGGCCUAACACAUGCAAGUCGAGCGGAUGAAGGUAGCUUGCUACCUGAUUCAGCGGCGGACGGGUGAGUAAUGCCUAGGAAUCUGCCUGGUAGUGGGGGACAACGUUUCGAAAGGAACGCUAAUACCGCAUACGUCCUACGGGAGAAAGUGGGGGAUCUUCGGACCUCACGCUAUCAGAUGAGCCUAGGUACGAUUAGCUAGUUGGUGAGGUAAAGGCUCACCAAGGCGACGAUCGUUAACUGGUCUGAGAGGAUGAUCAGUCACACUGGAACUGAGACACGGUCCAGACUCCUACGGGAGGCAGCAGUGGGGAAUAUUGGACAAUGGGCGAAAGCCUGAUCCAGCCAUGCCGCGUGUGUGAAGAAGGUCUUCGGAUUGUAAAGCACCUUAAGUUGGGAGGAAGGGCAGUAAGUUAAUACCUUGCUGUUUUGACGUUACCGACAGAAUAAGCACCGGCUAACUUCGUGCCAGCCGCCGGCGUAAGAC
rnacentral:rRNA from 1 species